rnacentral:misc_RNA from 1 species
CGUUCUCGGGUCUUGUACACACCGCCCGUCACACCAUGGGAGCUAGUAAUGCCCGAGCCGGUUAGUUAACUUCGGAGACGACUGUCUAAGGUAGGACUGGUGACUGGGGUGAAGUCGUAACAAGGUAUCCCUACGAGAACGUGGGGAUGGAUCACCUCCUUUCUACGGAGUACACAGUACAUUAUAUUUUUAAAGACUUAUUAAGUCUGUUUCACAAAACAAUCAAUCUUUAUUAUUUGAUUAUGGGCAUUUAUAUCCAGUUUUGAGAGUUCUAUUCUCUCAUUUAUAGAUCUUUGAAAACUGAAUAGAAAAGACAUUUGUAUAUAUUAAUAUUCAAACGUUUUGAUCAACCUAUAGAAUACAUCAUAUCUAUCUAAUAACAAUUAGACAAUAGGAACAUACUAUUAAAUAAGUAAGAGUUUUUGGUGGAUGCCUUGGGUCUGGAAGUCGAUGAAGGACGUGAUUACCUGC